CCUACGGGUGGCAGCAGUAGGGAAUCUUUCGCAAUGGGCGAAAGCCUGACGGAGCAACGCCGCGUGCAGGAUGAAGGCCUUCGGGUUGUAAACUGCUUUUGUCAGCGAGGAAUAAAAUGAUAACUUAUGAAUAAGAAUCUGCUACCUACGUGCCAGCAGCCGCGGUCAUACGUAGGAGGCGAGCAUUAUCCGGAGUGACUGGGUGUAAAGAGUUGCGUAGGUGGGAUAAUAAGUAGCUAGUGAAAUCUGGUGGCUCAACCAUUCAGACUAUUAGUUAAACUGUUAAGCUCGAGACCGUUAGGGGUAACUGGAAUUUCUAGUGUAGGAGUGAAAUCCGUAGAUAUUAGAAGGAACACCAAUAGCGUAGGCAGGUUGCUGGGACGGGUCUGACACUAAGGCACGAAAGCGUAGGGAGCAAACGGGAUUAGAUACCCGGGUAGUC
rnacentral:rRNA from 1 species